AGGACGAACGCUGGCGGCGUGCAUAACACAUGCAAGUCGAACGAGAAUCGAAAGCGGGAAGCUUCGGUGGAACGCUUUGAGGAAAGUGGCGGACGGGUGAGUAACGCGUAAGGAACCUGCCUCUCACAGCGGGAUAGCAGCUGGAAACGGCUAUUAAUACCGCAUGAUACAUCUUUUGCGCAUGCAGGGGAUGUCAAAGGGUCUACCGGUGAGAGAUGGCCUUGCGUCUGAUUAGCUGGUUGGUGUGGUAACGGCGCACCAAGGCGACGAUCAGUAGCCGGCUUGAGAGAGUGAACGGCCACAUUGGGACUGAGACACGGCCCAAACUCCUACGGGAGGCAGCAGUGGGGAAUUUUGCACAAUGGGGGAAACCCUGAUGCAGCGACGCCGCGUGAACGAAGAAGGUCUUCGGAUUGUAAAGUUCUGUCCUUGGCGAAGAAGAAUGACGGUAGUCAAGGAGGAAGCCCCGGCUAACUACGUGCCAGCAGCCGCGGUAAUACGUAGGGGGCGAGCGUUGUCCGGAAUUAUUGGGCGUAAAGGGUACGUAGGCGGUUUUUUAAGUUCGCCGUGAAAGCCCGGGGCUUAGCCCCGGUAAGCGGUGAAAACUGGAGAACUUGAGUAAUGAGGG
rnacentral:rRNA from 1 species